rnacentral:RNase_P_RNA from 1 species
AGAGCAAACCGCCGAUGGCCCACGUAAGUGGGAUCAGGUAAGGGUGAAAGGGUGCGGUAAGAGCGCACCGCGCGGCUGGUAACAGUCCGUGGCACGGUAAACUCCACCCGGAGCAAGGCCAAAUAGGGGUUCAUAAGGUACGGCCCGUACUGAACCCGGGUAGGCUGCUUGAGCCAGUGAGCGAUUGCUGGCCUAGAUGAAUGACUGUCCACGACAGAACCCGGCUUAUCGGUCAGUUUCACCU